AGCGAACGCUGGCGGCAGGCCUAACACAUGCAAGUCGAACGAAGUCUUCGGACUUAGUGGCGGACGGGUGAGUAACACGUGGGAACGUGCCUUUAGGUUCGGAAUAACUCAGGGAAACUUGUGCUAGUACCGAAUGUGCCCUUCGGGGGAAAGAUUUAUCGCCUUUAGAGCGGCCCGCGUCUGAUUAGCUAGUUGGUGAGGUAAAGGCUCACCAAGGCUACGAUCAGUAGCUGGUCUGAGAGGAUGACCAGCCACAUUGGGACUGAGACACGGCCCACACUCCUACGGGAGGCAGCAGUGGGGAAUCUUGCGCAAUGGGCGAAAGCCUGACGCAGCCAUGCCGCGUGGAUGAUGAAGGUCUUAGGAUUGUAAAAUCCUUUCACCGGUGAAGAUAAUGACUGUAGCCGGAGAAGAAGCCCCGGCUAACUUCGUGCCAGCCGCCGCGGUAAGAC
rnacentral:rRNA from 1 species